rnacentral:snRNA from 1 species
ACAAAUUAAGAUAGUUUUUCCA